AGCGAACGCUGGCGGCAGGCUUAACACAUGCAAGUCGAACGGGCGUAGCAAUACGUCAGUGGCAGACGGGUGAGUAACGCGUGGGAACGUACCUUUUGGUUCGGAACAACCCAGGGAGACUUGGGCUAAUACCGGAUAAGCCCUUACGGGGAAAGAUUUAUCGCCAAAAGAUCGGCCCGCGUCUGAUUAGCUAGUUGGUGAGGUAACGGCUCACCAAGGCGACGAUCAGUAGCUGGUCGAGAGGAUGAUCAGCCACAUUGGGACUGAGACACGGCCAAACUCCUACGGGAGGCAGCAGUGGGGAAUAUUGGACAAUGGGCGCAAGCCUGAUCCAGCCAUGCCGCGUGAGUGAUGAAGGCCCU
rnacentral:rRNA from 1 species